CCCAGCCAUAACCUCUUCUGGACCCAAUCCUGACCCUGCCCACACCUCCCAUGUAACCCACUCUGACCCAGCCACCGCCUCAUGUCACUCACACAGGGUAGAGCAUGAGUCCAUGGCCAAUGUCCCAACCUCCUGGAAUCUCUCCAACUGUCAUGGAACCUCCCCCAACUCCAGCUGCAGGCUUGACUGAAGCCCUGAGGCCUGCCUCUGGGCAGCAGGGGAGACAAGAGGACAUAGAAGAAGGGCCAGAGGGAUUCAAACCGCAAAGGACCAAGCCGGAACCUGGGAGGGAGACCAACAGAUUUCCAGGUGGCCAUGGAGGUGUCUGGAAGGAGGAGCUGAAGCGGUUGGCAGGCUGUUUAGUGCAUCUGGGGACUGGCCUUGCCCACAUCCCCACAUGUCCCAGAGGCCCCAAUCUGGCCCCCAGAGCACCAAGCCAAGUUUCCUUCCAGCAGCAUCCAGUAAUACUCAAAAUGAGACUGAAGUCUCCCCACCAAUUACCUACAGGCCCCGGGUCAGUAUCCAAGGCUUUCAGCCCAUUACCAACAGUGACCAGGUCAGCAUCCAAGAGCCCUUGUCCAUUAUCCACAAUCACCAUGUCCAAGACCCUCCACUAGUCCACGGUUGCUGGGCCAGUACCCAAGACGCACCACCCAUUAUCAAUAGUGGCUGGAUCAGUACUGAGGACACGCCGUCCACCAUGAACAGUCAUCAGCUCAGUAUCCAAGACACAUCGUCAGUUACCUACAGUCACCGCUUCAGUACCCGAGAUGUUCCACCAAUUUCCCAAAAUCACCACUUCAGCAUCCAAAAUUCUCCAUUACUAUCUCAAGAGACCAAUAUAGAGUCUCUUAUCUACAGUGGUAGCCAAGUCAUUAGCCAAGACCAUCUUCCAACAAACCAGAGUCCCUGCUCAAGUACUCAAUGCCUCAUAUCGCCGAUCCAGGCCAAGGUUGAUGCCUCACCUUCAAUUACUCACAUCUCCACAGCCAGUAUCAAAAGCCUUGAUUCAACCAUCUGGACCUCCCAAGAGAGUUCCAAAGACACUAUGGACAGCUUCCUGGGCAACCCAAGUACUCUAGACAACAAUGUCCAGAGCAUACAGUCAAACAGAUCUGCAAAGAUGGAUUCUGGCAGACCUUCUGGACUUUGCCUGGGCCUUUCUCAUCCUCGCCAGCAUCACCAGCAUCUGCCUCUGCAUCUUACUCCUAAACAUCAUCUUCUUCACCAGCUCCAACACACCCACGCUGGACUUCUCCAACGGCAUCCUCGGGAUCCUGACAGGCAUGGCACUGAGACUUAUCCCUCCAGAACCCUGGCAAAGAGUGCCUUGCCCAGUGCCCAGGAUGAUAUCCAACCCCCUCCCCACCACAUUUCAACACUGUCCUUGUCCUCACAUUCAUUGCCCAUGCCAAUGCUAUCUCCCUCCAAAUCUCCAACCAAGCCCGAUAAAAAAUGUGAACUUCCAAUACAACCGCAUCUCCAGCCCCAAUAUCAGCCUCCAGUUCACCUGUCAUCUCUGUCACCAACGAAUCUCAAACUCAUCGGUAUUCAUUUUUGUGGUGUCCAUACCCAUCUCAUCCCCCAUUCCAAUUCUAUCUCUUUCCAAUCUCCAAACCAUCCCCCUUACCAUCCCUAACCCCUUUCCAAAUCUCAACACUCAUUCCAAAUCCAACCCAACUCUAUCACCUGUGAACCUCACUUUCAAACUCAACACAACCCCAUCCCCAACCUUACCGUCCAUCUUCAUCACUCAAACUUGAACCUCUAC
rnacentral:lncRNA from 1 species